AUAACUGAAAAUAAACUACCAAAAUAUGUACACAUUUGGAUAAGGUGUCAAAAUGGGUCAAAAUUCAUGAGUCGACUCAACUCAACUCAACCCGUGAACCCUAAUGAGUUUAAAGUUUUGACUCAAAUGAGUUGAUGAGUCAAAUGAGUUGAUGAGUCAAUUGGUUUGAUGAGUAAAAUGAGUUGGGUUGUAAUGGUUAAUGGUUUGAAUGGUUUACCUAAUUAACCCAUCAAGUUUUGUAAAAUUGAAUUAAACCAACUAAAAUCUCUAAACCAAUGCCAAUUUAAAUUUAACCAACACAACUAAACCAAUUUAAUAAAAUUAAUAUUUUUCCAAAUUUCUUAAAUAUACAAGCGAUGAAAUUGAAAAAAAAAGUAAACUCGUAAUUUUCCACCAAAAAACAUAAACCCGUGAUUUUCCUGCCAAAAAUUUAAACCCGUGAUUUUCCCGCCAAAAACGUAAACCCGAGAUUUUUCUGCCAAAAACGUAAAUCUAUAAUUUUCCCGCCAAAAACGUAAACUCAUAAUUUUCCCGCUAAAAAACAUAAACCCGUAAUUUUCCCGCCAAAAACGUAAACCCAUGAUUUUCUCGUCAAAAACGUAAACCCGUGAUUUUCCCGCCAAAAAUGUAAAUCCGUGAUUUUCCCGCCAAAAACGUAAACCCGUAAUUUUCCCGCCAAAAACGUAAACUCGUGAUUUUCCCGCCAAAAACGUAAAUCCGUUAAAAGUGGAAUCCGUAAAUAUCAUAAGUUUGAUGAUAAUGAAUUAAUAAUAA
rnacentral:sRNA from 1 species